rnacentral:rRNA from 1 species
AAGCCCCAGUAAACGGCGGCCGUAACUAUAACGGUCCUAAGGUAGCGAAAUUCCUUGUCAGGUAAGUUCUGACCCGCACGAAAGGCGUAACGAUUUGGGCGCUGUCUCAGCUGUAGACUCGGUGAAGUCUUAGUACCUGUGAAGAUGCAGGUUACCCGCGACUAGACGGAAAGACCCCAUGGAGCUUCACUGCAGGUUGAUAUUGGGAUUUGAUGCAGCAUGUACAGGAUAGGUAGGAGGCAAAGAGAUGGAUACGCCAGUAUUCAAGGAGCCGCUGUUGGGAUACUACCCCUGUUGUAUUGGAUUUCUAACCGGACGACGUAGAGCCGUUGACGGGACAGUGUCAGUCGGGCAGUUUGACUGGGGCGGUCGCCUCCCAAAGAGUAACGGAGGCGCCCAAAGAUACCCUCAGCUUGGAUGGAAACCAAGCGCAGAGUGCAAAGGCAAAAGGGUGUUUGACUGCGAGACCCACAAGUCGAGCAGGGACGAAAGUCGGGCUUAGUGAUCCGGCGGUGCUGAAUGGAAAGGCCGUCGCUCAACGGAUAAAAGCUACCCUGGGGAUAACAGGCUGAUCUCCCCCAAGAGUUCACAUCGACGGGGAGGUUUGGCACCUCGAUGUCGGCUCAUCGCAUCCUGGAGCUGAAGUCGGUUCCAAGGGUUGGGCUGUUCGCCCAUUAAAGCGGUACGCGAGCUGGGUUCAGAACGUCGUGAGACAGUUCGGUCCCUAUCUGUCGUGGGCGCAGGAAAUUUGAGAAGAGCUGUCCUCAGUACGAGAGGACCGGGAUGGACGCAUCAAUGGUGGACCAGUUGUCACGCCAGUGGCAUAGCUGGGUAGCUAAAUGCGGAAGGGAUAAACGCUGAAGGCAUCUAAGUGUGAAACCCACUUCAAGAUGAGAUUUCCCAUUGCGCAAGCAAGUAAGACCCCUUAAAGACGAUAAGGUAGAUAGGUCAGGAGUGUAAGCAUGGUGACAUGUUAAGCGGACUGAUACUAAUAGGUCGAGGGCUUGACCGA